GUCCACGCCGUAAACUAUGAGAACUAGGUGUAGGAGCGAAUCCUGCGCCGAAGCUAACGCAUUAAGUUCUCCGCCUGGGGAGUACGUUCGCAAGAAUGAAACUUAAAAGGAAUUGACGGGGGCCCGCACAAGCAGUGGAGCAUGUGGUUUAAUUCGAAGAUACGCGAAGAACCUUACCAGGGCUUGACAUAGUCACUAAAGACUCUAGAGAUAGAGGGAUAAUAGGGAUAUACAGGUGGUGCAUGGUUGUCGU
rnacentral:rRNA from 1 species